rnacentral:ribozyme from 1 species
UGCCCAUCAACUCCUAUCCCUACCUCCUCGCGGUACCGGCCAGAAACUAUGAGCAACCUUAGGGAAGAUCGGGUAACCAACCAACAGUGGGAACUUUAAUCCUAGGCCGACAGGGAAGG